rnacentral:tRNA from 1 species
AGAUAGCUUAAUGGUAGAGCUCUUGCCUCACAUUCAUAAGGCCUUGGGUUCAAUCCCCAGUACUG